UAUUUUAAUGGCCGCAGUAUUUUAACUGUGCGAARGUAGCAUAAUCAUUAGUUUUUUAAUUGAAAGCUUGUAUGAAUGGUUGAAUGAAAAAAUGACUGUCUCUAUCUAAAUUUAUUAGAAAUUUAUUUUUAAGUAAAAAAGCUUAAAUAUUUAUAAAAGACGAGAAGACCCUAUAGAGUUUUAUAAUUUUAAGUGUUUGGGAAAUUUAGUAUUAAUUUUUCUAUCAGUAAAAAUUAUUUGAUUGGGGUGAUUUGAAAAUUGAAGUAACUUUUCAUCUAUAAAACCAUUUAUAUAUGAAUUUAUGAUCCUUAUUUAAAGAUUAAAAGUAAAAAUUACCUUAGGGAUAACAGCGUAAUUUUUUUUUAGAGUUCUAAUCGACAAAAAAGAUUGCGACCUCGAUGUUGGAUUAAAGUAUAAUUUUGGUGUAGAUGCUAAAAGCUUUAGGUCUGUUCGACCUUUAAUACUUUACAUGAUCUGAGUUUAAACCGGUGUGAGCCAGGU
rnacentral:rRNA from 1 species